GGCAACCAGAUAUGCCAUAGGCAGUUACACAAUAGGUGUAAACUAUAAGGGCCACUGAGAGAAAACUUAAUUCCAAUAUAUCAAGGAUGUUUAAGUGGACCUUAGGUUUCCAUAAUAGUUAUCCAUCGGCUGAAAUCAUUCCUUAAGCAAACAUUUUUUUUUUACAUAUCCAUCAGAUGAAAGGAAAAAAAUACAAUUAGGAAUGACAAAUGAACACAUCAGACUCCAGAAAGUAUGGAGGGAAAAUAUAGAAAGAAGGAAAACACAGGUAUGUGCACAAAAAUGUAUGACCAAUGUGCAGUACAGUUCUAACCU
rnacentral:misc_RNA from 1 species